AAGCCAGCCAUGGCCCACUGGCUUUUUGAAAGACAACAUUUGUUCCUUUUUAAGGACUGCACGUGUUAAACUUGUUUUGACCCUGCACGGGAGAAACUCGGACAGCCCCGAGGGCCGGGCGAGGGGCGUGGGAGGCGGGAGAGGCGCGCUGGGACCGCUGUGCAGAGUGCGAGCGUCCCGGGCUGCGUGGACCAGGUGUUGAGGCCCGUGUGAACUCUCGUUCCCGUGGAGCGGGUGUUGAGGCCCGUGUGAACCCUCGUUCCCGUGGAGCGGGUGUUGAGGUUACUAUGGUGAUCCUAGCCCAUAAUAGUUCGGCCUUUCCCUUUAAAAGGCCGGUGCUUGCCAGUAAUAAACGUCGCCUUGAUCAGACUCUUGUCUUGGCGUCCUUCCUUUCUCUCUGCCCCAUCUCCACCCCGCUGCUCUUUCAGGUUUGAGGCACUGCGGGACAGUGCUCUGCGUCGCCGGUUCGCGACAUUUGACUAACAAGUAAAAUCUGUUAACAGAUGUUUUAAGUAUGAUCUAAAACUUCCCCCAUAGCUAUGUCUUCUGUUUAUUACUAUUUCCUCAGUCACAGUCAGGCUAAUGCAAAUGUUAAUGUAUUCCUAGAAAUUAAUAAUACAACCACAAGCCUGGAAGCCACUUCAAGGAGUCCUAGUCCAGAUUCCUGCCCAGUCUUCCACCAACUCUGUGCAACCAGAGAAGGAAGUGUUAUCUUGAGGCCUUUUGAGGCUGAGUCUGGCUCAUUUUGCCAAAAUGAACAACAUCAAACAUCUGAUUGUACUGAAGGAGAUGAUUUAUUUAUUUCCAAAGAAUAUGUCCUUUCAGUAUCCAGAUAUGUGCUUCUAUUACUCAGGGA
rnacentral:lncRNA from 1 species